UCUGGAGAGCGGAAAUCAUCCGACACAGACAAAGAGGAUUUACAGCAAUGGCUAUUGCAACAAUAGCAGCAGUGGCAACAAAACCAUCCUCAAUACCCCUGUUGAUAAGAAAGAAGCCGAAAUGGGUCUUCACUCCUUUGGCUUUCUGUUCUUCUUCUUCAUCAGCAAGUAGAAGAAAACUGAUUCUUUAUUCAAAGCCUGGAUGUUGUUUGUGUGAUGGCCUCAAAGAGAAGCUCCAGGCGGCAUUCUUGCUCUCUGGUCCUCAUUCCCUUCAUGAUGUUGAUUUACAGGUAAGGGAUAUUACCAGCAAUCCUGAAUGGGAGAGGGCUUACCAGUAUGAGAUACCCGUUUUGGCCAAAGUACUCUCUGAUGGCACCGAGUGACAUUGGCAAAUGACAAAGUUGUGUUUUGCACACGAAAAUAAUGAUGAUGAAAUAUGUUCUGUCCCCCCCACCCCCCCUUCAUUACAAUUUACUUCUCCCGGUCUUUGUGUGAGAGUACUUUCAGGAAACUUUACCCAGAAUAUCUCCUCGACUUGGAGUGGAGCUCGUCCACAAAAAGAUAGCAGCUGCUUUGAUCCAAUAAGGUUCCUCUACAUAAUUAAAAUUCUAGCUGGUGUGAAAUUUGUUAUUGCAUGGGACAAUGUAUCUUGUCAGAAAAGACUGGACAUAAAAUACCUUUAAUAGCUUAUGUUCAAAUGAAUUUUGAAUUCAUCAAUAAUGAUCUCCAAAAGGCACUCUUAAUUUUGCCAUCAGAACUGAUCACAUGGCGUUUAAUUAUGUUCCUCUACUGAAAGAAAACUAGUUAAUGCUAUCAAUAUCUUGGUGAUUUGCAAACCACCAUUUUCUAUUCA